rnacentral:rRNA from 1 species
GAUGAACGCUGGCGGCGUGCCUAAUACAUGCAAGUCGAGCGAACGGACGCGAAGCUUGCUUCUCUGAUGUUAGCGGCGGACGGGUGAGUAACACGUGGAUAACCCACCUAUAAGACUGGGAUAACCUCGGGAAAGCGGAGCUUAUACCGGAUAAUAUUUUGAACCGUAUUGUUCAAAAGUGAAAGACGGUCUUGCUGUCACUUAUAGAUGGAUCCGCGCUGCAUUAGCUAGUUGGUAAGGUAACGGCUUACCACGGCAACGAUGCGUAGCCGACGUCAGAGGGGGGUCGCCCGCCCGGGAACGGAACCACCGUCCUUGCGCCUACGGUAGGGAGCAGACGGGUAUCUGCCGCAAUGGGCGAGAGCCUUGCGGAACAGCGCCGCGUGAGUGAUGGAGGUCCUGGGAUCGUAAAACUCUGUUAUUAGGGAAGAACAUAUUUGUAAGUAACUGUGCACAGCUUGACGGUACCUAAUCAGAAAGCCACGGCUAACUACGUG